rnacentral:rRNA from 1 species
GAUGAACGCUAGCGGCAGGCCUAAUACAUGCAAGUCGAACGGUGUCUUCGGACAUAGUGGCGCACGGGUGCGUAACACGUAUGCAACCUACCUUACAUUGGGGGAUAGCCUUUCGAAAGGGAGAUUAAUACCGCAUAAGACAGUAGCUGGGCAUCCAGCAGCUGUUAAAGAUUUAUCGAUGUAAGCUGGGCAUGCGUCCAAUUAGCUAGUUGGUGAGGUAACGGCUCACCAAGGCAAUGAUUGGUAGGGGAACUGAGAGGUCAAUCCCCCACACUGGCACUGAGAAACGGGCCAGAAUACUACGGGAGACAGCAGUAGGGAAUAUUGGGCAAUGGACGCAAGUCUGACCCAGCCAUGCCGCGUGCAGGAUGAAGGCGUUAUGCGUUGUAAACUGCUUUUAUACAGGAAGAAACGACUCUUGCGAGAGGCAUUGACGGUACUGUAUGAAUAAGCACCGGCUAACUCCGUGCCAGCCGCCGCUGUAAUAC